GCCUCUUUUAUGGGGUGACUGCGUACCUUUUGUAUAAUGGGUCAGCGACUUAUAUUCUGUAGCAAGGUUAACCGAAUAGGGGAGCCGAAGGGAAACCGAGUCUUAACUGGGCGUUAAGUUGCAGGGUAUAGACCCGAAACCCGGUGAUCUAGCCAUGGGCAGGUUGAAGGUUGGGUAACACUAACUGGAGGACCGAACCGACUAAUGUUGAAAAAUUAGCGGAUGACUUGUGGCUGGGGGUGAAAGGCCAAUCAAACCGGGAGAUAGCUGGUUCUCCCCGAAAGCUAUUUAGGUAGCGCCUCGUGAAUUCAUCUCCGGGGGUAGAGCACUGUUUCGGCAAGGGGGUCAUCCCGACUUACCAACCCGAUGCAAACUGCGAAUACCGGAGAAUGUUAUCACGGGAGACACACGGCGGGUGCUAACGUCCGUCGUGAAGAGGGAAACAACCCAGACCGCCAGCUAAGGUCCCAAAGUCAUGGUUAAGUGGGAAACGAUGUGGGAAGGCCCAGACAGCCAGGAUGUUGGCUUAGAAGCAGCCAUCAUUUAAAGAAAGCGUAAUAGCUCACUGGUCGAGUCGGCCUGCGCGGAAGAUGUAACGGGGCUAAACCAUGCACCGAAGCUGCGGCAGCGACGCUUAUGCGUUGUUGGGUAGGGGAGCGUUCUGUAAGCCUGUGAAGGUGUACUGUGAGGUAUGCUGGAGGUAUCAGAAGUGCGAAUGCUGACAUAAGUAACGAUAAAGCGGGUGAAAAGCCCGCUCGCCGGAAGACCAAGGGUUCCUGUCCAACGUUAAUCGGGGCAGGGUGAGUCGACCCCUAAGGCGAGGCCGAAAGGCGUAGUCGAUGGGAAACAGGUUAAUAUUCCUGUACUUGGUGUUACUGCGAAGGGGGGACGGAGAAGGCUAUGUUGGCCGGGCGACGGUUGUCCCGGUUUAAGCGUGUAGGCUGGUUUUCCAGGCAAAUCCGGAAAAC
rnacentral:rRNA from 1 species